GCGGGCAGUUUGACUGGGGCGGUCGCCUCCUAAAAGGGAACGGAGGCGCUCAAAGGGUCCCUCAGAAUGGUUGGAAAUCAUUCAUAGAGUGGAAAGGCAUAAGGGAGCUUGACUGCGAGACCUACAAGUCGAGCAGGGUCGAAAGACGGACUUAGUGAUCCGGUGGUUCCGCAUGGAAGGGCCAUCGCUCAACGGAUAAAAGCUACCCCGGGGAUAACA
rnacentral:rRNA from 1 species